UAUUCCUCCACCUAUUUCGUUAAAGUAUUGGCUUCAACAAUUUAGUAUACUUCAUAGCUGCAGGAAAUCCACUAAAUUUAGAAACCAAAAGUUGUCAACAUAUGUAAGAUAGACUAUGUAGCUAGUGUGUUUGACCAAAUUGCUAAUCCAACUCCUGAUAUAUUAAAUAUCUUUACUAGCUACUUGUCUAAGGAUGAAGUGAGCUGGAAUAUUGGUUCCUUCUCUAUUAUGCUCUG
rnacentral:lncRNA from 1 species